AUGAAAAUAUAUAACAUCAUCUGGACUCUCCUCUGCUGCUGCUUCACAGAGUCCAGAGGCCAGGUCACAGUGACUCAGCCUGCAGCAGUGAGCUCUGCUCUGGGAGGAUCCACAACCAUCAACUGUAGGGUCAGUCGUGAGGUUGAUGAAGGUUGUGGCAGUUCUUUUUCCGACCCCUGUUUUGCCUGGUACCAAAAGAAAGAUGGUGAAGCUCAUAAACUUCUCAUUUACGGUGCUACUUCUCGAGAAUCAGGGAUUCCAGAUCGUUUUUCAGGCAGUGGAUCAAAAACUGACUUCACUCUGACCAUCAGUGGAGUUCAGGCUGAAGAUUCAGGAGUUUAUUACUGUCAGAGUGCACAUAUUAUCAACAGUCAGUUUGUGUUCACACAGUGA